rfam:Brachypodium distachyon strain Bd21 chromosome 5, whole genome shotgun sequence.
GUACUACUUCCUCCGUUUCAUAAUUCUUGUCUCAAAUUUGCCCAACAAUGGAUGUAUCUAUUACUAAAAAACGUUUAGAUACAUGUAAUAUUUCGACAAGAAUUAUGAAACAGAGGGAGUACUUA